rnacentral:rRNA from 1 species
GUUGAAAAUUUUAUAUCACUGAAUACAUUGGUUCUCGUCCGAUCACCGAAAUUAGGAUGCGCCGGGCGCGGUUAGUACUUAGGUGGAGGACCGUUUGGAAACACCGCAUGUUGUUGGCA